UACGAAGGGAGCUAGCGUUGUUCGGAAUUACUGGGCGUAAAGGGCGCGUAGGCGGCUCGAUUAGUCAGAUGUGAAAGCCCUGGGCUCAACCCGGGAACUGCGUUUGAUACUGUCGAGCUUGAAUUCGGGAGAGGUGAGUGGAAUUCCCAGUGUAGAGGUGAAAUUCGUAGAGAUUGGGAAGAACACCCGUGGCGAAGGCGGCUCACUGGACCGACAUUGACGCUGAGGCGCGAAAGCGUGGGGAGCAAAC
rnacentral:rRNA from 1 species